rnacentral:lncRNA from 1 species
ACUUUGGCGUCGCCCCGCCCCGCGUGCCGCGGCUGCUUCGUGCGGACCCCACCGCGGGUCGCGGCAGGCAGAGGGGAAGUCGGUGCGCUGGUCGCCGCCCUGCAAACUCAGCCGAGUUUGGGAGCUCGCAGGAGGACUUGGGGAACGCUGGAGGGAACCUUAGUAUAGAGUUUGAGGAGCGGGCAAGGAAGGUCCCCAUGGACUCUGGGGUUGUCCCCAGAGCCUCUUCUUCCCUUCUGCAUCGCCGCCUAUUCAUUUAUUCUGCAGCAAAUAUUUAUUGAGCGCCUAUUUUAGGCGCUGAGGCUACUGUGGUGAGUCAUGGUCCUUGCCUUCCUGGAGCUUACAGUCUAAUGGUGGAGACUGUCGUGACCAGUUAAUAUGUUGGAUGACAAUAACCAUCUUAUUCAGUGUAUAAUGGACUCUCAGAAUAAAGGAAAGACCUCAGAGUGUUCUCAGUAUCAGCAGAUGUUGCACACAAACUUGGUAUACCUUGCUACAAUAGCAGAUUCUAAUCAAAAUAUGCAGUCUCUUUUACCAGCACCACCCACACAGAAUAUGCCUAUGGGUCCUGGAGGGAUGAAUCAGAGC